rnacentral:rRNA from 1 species
ACGGGUGAGUAACACGUGAGUAACCUGCCCUCUUCUUUGGGAUAACGCCCGGAAACGGGUGCUAAUACUGGAUAUUCACUGAUCUUCGCAUGGGGGUUGGUGGAAAGGUUUGUUCUGGUGGGGGAUGGGCUCGCGGCCUAUCAGCUUGUUGGUGGGGUGAUGGCCUACCAAGGCUUUGACGGGUAGCCGGCCUGAGAGGGUGACCGGUCACAUUGGGACUGAGAUACGGCCCAGACUCCUACGGGAGGCAGCAGUGGGGAAUAUUGCACAAUGGGCGAAAGCCUGAUGCAGCGACGCCGCGUGAGGGAUGGAGGCCUUCGGGUUGUAAACCUCUUUCGCUCAUGGUCAAGCCGCGACGUGGGUUGUGGUGAGGGUAGUGGGUAAAGAAGCGCCGGCUAACUACGUGCCAGCAGCCGCGGUAAUACGUAGGGCGCGAGCGUUGUCCGGAAUUAUUGGGCGUAAAGGGCUUGUAGGCGGUUGGUCGCGUCUGCCGUGAAAUUCUCUGGCUUAACUGGGGGCGUGCGGUGGGUACGGGCUGACUUGAGUGCGGUAGGGGAGACUGGAACUCCUGGUGUAGCGGUGGAAUGCGCAGAUAUCAGGAAGAACACCGGUGGCGAAGGCGGGUCUCUGGGCCGUUACUGACGCUGAGGAGCGAAAGCGUGGGGAGCGAACAGGAUUAGAUACCCUGGUAGUCCACGCUGUAAAC